rnacentral:rRNA from 1 species
UAGAACAGCCAUAUCACCCUGCAGCCCAAGACUGGUUGCCCACUGAAGCUAAGCAGGGUUGAGCCUGGUCAGUACCUGGAUGGGAGACCUCCUGGCAAAACUAGGUUGCUGUUGGAA